rnacentral:rRNA from 1 species
UAUUGGACAAUGGGCGAAAGCCUGAUCCAGCAAUGCCGCGUGAGUGAUGAAGGCCUUAGGGUUGUAAAGCUCUUUUACCCGGGAUGAUAAUGACAGUACCGGGAGAAUAAGCUCCGGCUAACUCCGUGCCUGCAGCCGCGGUAAUACGGAGGGAGCUAGCGUUGUUCGGAAUUACUGGGCGUAAAGCGCACGUAGGCGGCUUUGUAAGUUAGAGGUGAAAGCCUGGAGCUCAACUCCAGAAUUGCCUUUGAUACUGCAUCGCUUGAAUCCAGGAGAGGUGAGUGGAAUUCCGAGUGUAGAGGUGAAAUUCGUAGAUAUUCGGAAGAACACCAGUGGCGAAGGCGGCUCACUGGUCUGGUAUUGACGCUGAGGUGCGAAA